rnacentral:rRNA from 1 species
AGAGCGAACGCUGGCGGCAGGCCUAACACAUGCAAGUCGAACGGACUCUUCGGAGUUAGUGGCGGACGGGUGAGUAACACGUGGGAACGUGCCUUUAGGUUCGGAAUAGCUCCUGGAAACGGGUGGUAAUGCCGAAUGUGCCCUUCGGGGGAAAGAUUUAUCGCCUUUAGAGCGGCCCGCGUCUGAUUAGCUAGUUGGUGAGGUAAAGGCUCACCAAGGCUACGAUCAGUAGCUGGUCUGAGAGGAUGACCAGCCACAUUGGGACUGAGACACCGGACCCAAACUCCGUACGGGAGCAGCAGGUGGGAAUCGUUGCGCAAGUCGGGACGAAAGCCUGACCGCACGCC